CAGGGGGAGCUUGCUCCCCGCUGACGAGCGGCGGACGGGUGAGUAAUGCAUAGGAAACUGCCCAGUAGUGGGGGAUAGCCCGGGGAAACCCGGAUUAAUACCGCAUACGCCCUUCGGGGGAAAGCAGGGGAUCUUCGGACCUUGCGCUAUUGGAUGUGCCUAUGUCGGAUUAGCUAGUUGGUGGGGUAAGAGCCUACCAAGGCGACGAUCCGUAGCUGGUCUGAGAGGAUGAUCAGCCACAUCGGGACUGAGACACGGCCCGAACUCCUACGGGAGGCAGCAGUGGGGAAUAUUGGACAAUGGGGGCAACCCUGAUCCAGCCAUGCCGCGUGUGUGAAGA
rnacentral:rRNA from 1 species